rnacentral:lncRNA from 1 species
GGCUCGGAUGAGACGUUGACCGUUGCCUCGGAGACCCAAGCCACGAAAGUUCAAUUCCCGACUUCUAACACAAGUUUCUCACAAUCCACUGGUAUCUAAGUGUCUACCUACGAUUAGCACUCUUGUUCGGUCGUGAAUCUGGUUUGGACGUGUUGCUUCCGACGUUGAAGUUACGAUACGUAGUGCUGCCCAAAGAUGUUGGCAGGUGGAUUCUGUUCACCACUGUCGUACAACCGUUAAUCCGUUUUUGACCUGCAGAGGUACUUCGUUUUGCACACCAGUGAAGAAGGAUGCCAUCACUACACUGUACUAGCCCUGCUACCAUUAAACUUGUAGCGACCUCUUUCGGUCGUUUCCUGUUCCCACAAAACCUUGCUCUACAUGUCGAUUGCACCGUGUUUUCUGCCGUUGUGCGGGCGCCGUUUUACCUUGGUCAAGUAACAUCAACUUGCCCGUUACUCAGAAUUGCCCACCUUCAAAGCGGUGGACACGAUUACUUGUUUUGUUCUAGCCGUCGCCUGACGCAUCACCAGUGAUGGCUUCAGAUACACCUCCACAUAUUAUACUGGUAACACCUCACUCAAUCGAGCGUAACGUGGAAGAACUGAAAAAAAAGAGACCUCCCUUGUGACAGCUCUCUAUUGCUGAGCCGGACACAACUAGGACCCCUGGAACAUCAGUCCUGUGAACGUCUUUCGUGAGUGUGGUAGUACGCAAACCUAUUUCGUACACCUCGUAUCAAUUUUUCGCAACUCGUUUUGCCUAUUCGGUACAGUCGGGAACCCGUGGAAGGAGAAGAAUACCCGGUUACUUCUCAUUUCGAGGAAGUUUCAAUUUAUCCGAAAUACGUCUGUAUCUGUGUUCCGUCAUCUAUCGAUAGCACCAUUCCUUGGA